rnacentral:lncRNA from 1 species
UAGGUCUUUUCACCCAUUCUCUCAUCCUCUGUCCUUACUACUCUUUCAAAAUCACCCACCGUCGCCACCACGCCAACACGUCGAACCUUGACCGUGAAGAGGCCUAUGUGCCGCAAACAAAACCUGAUCCGAAUUCAUGGUACUGGGGAAUUUACGGUACAUCAGGUCGUAUUGGCGUGCUACUCUUUAAAGUCACAUUAGGCUGGCCUUCUUAUCUUUUGUUCAACAUGGCUGGAAGAGGUUACAACAAAUUCGCCAACCAUUUCUACCCCUACAGUCCCAUGUAUUCGGCUCGUGAGCGAAUCGAAAUCUUGAUCUCGAAUGCAGGGAUUCUCGCAAUGCUUUACGCGCUCUAUCUUCUAACCGUCGCCAAAGGUCUUUCCC